CACAUCACAUUGAAACACUGGUUCCUGUACAAUCACCAAAGUUAAGCAACAUCAAGCCUGGUCAUUACCUAGAUGGGUGACCACUUGGGAAUACCAGAUGCUGUAAG